CAGCCGCCGCGGUAAUACGAAGGGGGCUAGCGUUGUUCGGAAUUACUGGGCGUAAAGCGCACGUAGGCGGAUAUUUAAGUCAGUGGUGAAAUCCCGCAGCUCAACUGCGGAACUGCCUUUGAUACUGGGUAUCUUGAGUAUGGAAGAGGUUAGUGGAAUUGCGAGUGUAGAGGUGAAAUUCGUAGAUAUUCGCAGGAACACCAGUGGCGAAGGCGGCUAACUGGUCCAUAACUGACGCUGAGGUGCGAAAGCGUGGGGAGCAAACAGGAUUAGAUACCCCAGUAGUCCCUGUCUCUUAUAC
rnacentral:rRNA from 1 species